rnacentral:rRNA from 1 species
UACGUAGGGUGCGAGCGUUGUCCGGAAUUAUUGGGCGUAAAGGGCUCGUAGGCGGUUUGUCGCGUCGGGUGUGAAAAUCCAGGGCUUAACUCUGGACUGGCUUCCGAUACGGGCAGACUAGAGGUAUGCAGGGGAGAACGGAAUUCCUGGUGUAGCGGUGAAAUGCGCAGAUAUCAGGAGGAACACCGGUGGCGAAGGCGGUUCUCUGGGCAUUACCUGACGCUGAGGAGCGAAAGUGUGGGGAGCGAACAGG